rnacentral:rRNA from 1 species
UAACGGCCCACCAACGCGACGACGGGUAGCCGGCCUGAGAGGGCGACCGGCCACACUGGGAGUGAGACACGGCCCAGACUCCUACGGGAGGCAGCAGUGGGGAAUAUUGCGCAAUGGGCGAAAGCCUGACGCAGCGACGCCGCGGGGGGGAUGAAGGCCGCCGGGUUGUAAACCCCUUUCAGCAGGGACGAAGCGAAAGUGACGGUACCUGCAGAAGAAGCGCCGGCUAACUACGUGCCAGCAGCCGCGGUAACAAGUAGGGCGCAAGCGUUGUCCGGAAUUAUUGGGCGUAAAGAGCUCGUAGGCGGUCUGUUGCGUCCGCUGUGAAAAAACGUGGCUUAACCCCGAGCCUCCAGUGGAUACGGGCAGACUAGAGGUAGGUAGGGGAGAAUGGAAUUCCCGGUGUAGCGGUGAAAUG